rnacentral:rRNA from 1 species
CUACGGGAGGCUGCAGUGGGGAAUAUUGCACAAUGGGCGCAAGCCUGAUGCAGCAACGCCGCGUGAGGGAUGAAGGCCUUCGGGUUGUAAACCUCUUUUAGCAGGGAAGAAGCGAAAGUGACGGUACCUGCAGAAAAAGCACCGGCUAACUACGUGCCAGCAGCCGCGGUAAUACGUAGGGUGCAAGCGUUGUCCGGAAUUAUUGGGCGUAAAGAGCUCGUAGGCGGUUUGUCACGUCUGCUGUGAAAAUCCAGGGCUCAACCUUGGACUUGCAGUGGGUACGGGCAGGCUAGAGUGCGGUAGGGGAGAGGGGAAUUCCUGGUGUAGCGGUGGUAUGCGCAGAUAUCAGGAGGAACACCAAUGGCGAAGGCACAUCUCUGGGCCGUAACUGACGCUGAGGAGCGAAAGCGUGGGGAGCGAACAGGAUUAGAUACCCGUGUAGUC